rnacentral:rRNA from 1 species
GACGAACGCUGGCGGCGUGCUUAACACACGCAAGUCGAACGCUGAAGCUUGGUGCUUGCACUGGGUGGAUGAGUGGCGAACGGGUGAGUAAUACGUGAGUAACCUGCCCUUGACUCUGGGAUAAGCCUGGGAAACUGGGUCUAAUACUGGAUAUGACAUGCCACUGCAUGGUGGUGUGUGGAAAGGGUUUUACUGGUUUUGGAUGGGCUCACGGCCUAUCAGCUUGUUGGUGGGGUAAUGGCCUACCAAGGCGACGACGGGUAGCCGGCCUGAGAGGGUGACCGGCCACACUGGGACUGAGACACGGCCCAGACUCCUACGGGAGGCAGCAGUGGGGAAUAUUGCACAAUGGGCGGAAGCCUGAUGCAGCGACGCCGCGUGAGGGAUGACGGCCUUCGGGUUGUAAACCUCUUUCAGCACGGAAGAAGCGAGAGUGACGGUACGUGCAGAAGAAGCGCCGGCUAACUACGUG